rnacentral:rRNA from 1 species
AGCCAGCAGCCGCGGUAAAACGUAGGUGGCAAGCGUUAUCCGGAUUCACUGGGCGUAAAGCGCGUGCAGGUGGCUUCGUAAGUUGGACGUUAAAUCUCCCGGCCUAACCGGGAGGAGUCGUUCAAUACUGCGGGGCUAGAGGGCAGAAGAGGGGGGUGGAAUUGCUGGUGUAGUGGUGAAAUGCGUAGAUAUCAGCAGGAACACCUGUGGCGAAAGCGGCCCCCUGGUCUGCUCCUGACACUCAGACGCGAAAGCUAGGGGAGUGAACGGGAUUAGAAACCCCGGUAAUCCUAGCCGUAAACGAUGGAUGCUAGGUGUGGGUGGUAUUGACCCCAUCCGUGCCGAAGCCAACGCGUUAAGCAUCCCGCCUGGGGACUACGACCGCAAGGUUAAAACUCAAAGGAAUUGGCGGGGG